rfam:Asian citrus Psyllid, Diaphorina citri - Florida Strain, whole genome shotgun sequence.
UGGUGUAGUGGUUAACGCACUGGACUACAAAUCUGGAGAUUGGUGGUUCGAGUCCCCA